rfam:Acinetobacter sp. TGL-Y2, complete genome.
GAAGUGAGCUAGACGAUCGCUGCUGCGUAGAUCUUCGUGAUUGAAACAGGGGAGGAAAGUCCGGGCUUCAUAGGGCAGGGUGCCAGGUAACGCCUGGGCGGCGAAAGCCGACGGCAAGUGCAGCAGAGAGGAGACCGCCAUUUUGCAACUGAUCUUCGGGUCAGCCUAGAAAAUGGUAAGGGUGAAAGGGUGCGGUAAGAGCGCACCGCGUGUCUGGUAACAGUUCACGGCAAGGUAAACCCCACCAGAAGCAAGACCAAAUAGGAAUCCAUUAGGCACGGCCCGUGCUGGAUUCGGGUAGGUCGCUUGAGCGUACGAGUGAUUGUACGCCUAGAGGAAUGAUCGUUCACGACAGAACCCGGCUUAUCGGCUCACUUCAUCA